CAGCAGCAGCAAAGGCCAGCCAAGGGAGAUCGUAUGUCGGCCAUCUCGCGUCGCCACAAAAACACGACAGUCGUUCGUCAUGCCUUGGAUAUAACAGCAAAUCCUCCACGGUAAGUGAAUUCUAACUUAGGUGCACAUUGUCCGUAUAUGUCAUGCUAUCGCCAGGAAGUCGUCGCUGCGCUUAGCCGACGCGAUUGACAACGGACUAGGCAUGCGCGCUGUGUCUCUCGAUGUCAAUCGAAAAAGCCAGUCGUCGCGAUAACUGCAUGUGAUUUUAUCACUUUGCCGUUGUCCGUAAGAGCUUUAAAAAUCGCAAACGCUGCCAGAACUAUGGUAUGUUCAAUAAGACGCCAGGCGAGAGGACGCUUAAAAUGGUUAGUUCACCAGCCCGUGAUUCCAAGCCUAUGCGGAGCGUGAUUAGCGUGCGUUUUGUGUGUUGGAAUUUAUUCAGUUUGGCAGUCUACUGUGUACGGAACGCUGUUGAACUAAGGAAUCACAUAACAGAAGGCGUCAUUUUGCUGGCAGCAUGCUUUUUUUUUUAUAAAUAAACCGCGCGCUUGACGGUGUCUCGCGCAGGGGGAAUCUGCGACCACUGAAGUUACGUGCAGCACCAGUGCUAGUUAGAAACUUUGCCGCAGGCAUUCAGCUGCAUGCUGCAAGAGGUCAGUUGGGCGCGUUAUCUUGAACUUACUGAAAACGCAUGAGGAAUCCAUGUUUUAUGCUGAAAAAAGUAUAAACCCCAUAUAAGCGAUCUUGCGCGCGGCAGCUACAAGCGACGCGACGGAGAUGGCUGUCGCGUUCGCUCGUCGCCUACAAGUCGUACUCCGUGCGAGCGACGAUUUUGAGCGACGCCUCCCCGGUGUUGCCGGCAUGAGGGCUGCAGUGACGCGUGACGCGUGCUUUAGUAAUUUACGUUGAUGUAUUUUACUAUAAAAAGUAGCAUAAAAUAUUUCCGGAGGUCUUGCAGUACGUUCUUAUCCUUGCACGUAUAAAAAUUGAAUCAUUUGCUCGUUCCGCGCGACAAUCGGUAGUAUUUGAGCGAUGUAUGUACAUCCAGUUCCGGCUUCGCGCUAUUGGCUAGUCGCUCAUAGCACUUCUGGGCGACGAUUUCUAGAUUUCCAGAACCGAGCCAUCUGUUCAAGCGACGGCCCGUUUUGUCGCUCGUCGCCGUCGCGCACUAAAUCGCUCUCACAGUGUUUAUCCCUUAGACUGAACUGUUUUUGCUCAUGUUGAAAUGGUGUGAUUAUAGGUCUGGUUUUGUCUCCUGUUGCGGUUUUCGUGCACGGUGCGAAACUGAAAGGAUGCUUAUGUCUACGAACUCGGUGAAUUGUCGAGCAGCUAGUUACGCAUCGGCAUCGAAUAUAACGGCUGCUGUGUGGAAUUACAAUUGCAGGGGCGCUUUGCAUACGCUUAUUGUUUUGGACAUGCCUGUGCAUUUGCUAAUAUGAGUUGGCGUGUCAGAGUUAUGUCAUAUGAACAGCUAAAUCAGCCUUCCUCUGGGGGUUACAAGCGUAAUGUGUGCAUUUAGCUAUAGCAUGGCAGAUCAAGAUGUGUUUAUCGCUUGAAUAUUUUUAGUAGAGAAAUAAAAUAUCAAAAUAAAAUGUUGCUUUAAUUCCGUGUUACCAGUCUGUCGUACACAGAACAAUAGGCUGGUGUAAUAAACUAAUAACUGCGGUUUAACUGCAACUUUUACAUGCCUACAAGAAUCUAAAAUGCUAGAUUUCAAACUGCAGCAGUAGUCGGGUCUGUCAAAAAUGAACUCCACUGCGCACCUCAUGCAUGAAAAUAAGUUCAUGCCCUUUAGUAAGCUUAGAUGCAGGCCGCAGUGAACUUGUUAGUAUUGAAAUGUGGGUAAGCUUGCCAUAACAAGCCUUGUUGCCCUUUUUUAUAGGCACAUCCAUAUAUCCAUUGAGCUGAAGGACAAUAUUUUCAUCCCUACUGAGCAUCAUGUUUGCAGCUAUAAUCCUCAAAUUAUGGCUUCAGCAGUGGCACAACCAGGGAUGGUGCGGGGGGGGGGCACACUGGGCACGUGCUUAGGAUGUGUCACAAGUGGUUUUUGCGAUACACCAGACUCAUGACAGAUCUAUGACGUCUGAAAAUGACCAAUAUUCUAUUCAUUAGCAGGAGUAUUCUAACAUUCAUGAAAAACAAGGAUGAACUGUGGUUUAUUUGUUUUUUUUGCUUAAAUCUAAAAAUUGAAGUUAGUUUAGCAGUUGACUGUUGCAGUCAUUUGGAUGUUUUGCAUGCAUUUCACUAGGAAGACUAAGAGCUAAGACUUUUUUAUUUCCAUGGCCUUGACUGUCUUGAUGUUGUUUUGCACCAUGCCCUUGUGUUGACUUUUGCAUACGAUAUUUUUCAGGCACCCGCUUUAUAUAACGCAAGAAGGCAGCUGCAAGGACACGAGGAUGUGAAAGAGCCAGUGCAGCGCGACUUCACGUAGUGCAGAGGAGCCAAUGCCAAAAAAUCUAAAUAGAUUGGCAUGUUAUUUGGACAAGAAAACUAGUAUGUGGGUAUAUUGGGUGUACCAUUUGACCAAAUGUCAACAAAAUCAAGAUAGAGUAUGUUACACGAAGAUGAAAAUUCUCACGUGCUCCAGGCAGUCAUCUUAACAUGGUAUAUUUAUGUAAUGUCUCUGUUUGGAAAGUCAAAUCAAGUAUGCUCUCUGGAGACAAACACAUAGCAGCAAGUGUCAUUGAAAAGUUAAAAAUGUGUUUUAAGAAAGCUGAUUAGUUCUGAGAAGUGACUGCUUUUUGUCUUGCCUCUCAACAGAUAUAUCCAUGUGAUAAAAAAAUAGUGGUACAAUGAAAUUGAAUAUUUUGCUUAGCGCCAUGAUACAUACUUGCAAUGAGCACGGUGCCUGUGUUUACUAUAAAAAGCAACAGCCCAUGCUUGGUUAGGUUAGGCCCACUACAACAUGCAGGCAUGGGUGAUUGGCGCUUUUUUUUAUUUCUGUGUCGUGAGGUUUAUUGACGUGCGUAUAGGUGCAGUGGCACGCAGUAUGGCUAGUACAAAAAAAGGGGGGGGGGGCAGAUAUAUGUAGCUCACUGUACACGACACAGGGCAAAGGAAAUCCGUGUUCAACUAUGUUAAAUGCCAUGUACGUAAAUUUUACAACGCUACUCGUUCGAAGCGCGCACAGGUGCAUAUUGAAGAAAAGUUUCCAGGGUAGAUAAUUUAGUUCGUAAUUUACACUAAUUUUGCUCUAACCACGAGACAUAAUAAUUUCAAUAUACUGCACGGAAAAACCUAGAGCGAAUUAAAUUGUGUGUCAGCUUCGUGUGUAUACAUAUAGUCUUUCCUAUGCAUUAGGUUUUUUGCGUAAUGCAUUAACAGUUGGCAGCCUAUCUUAUGAUGUGUACUCUGUUUACAUUACAGUUGUUUAUUAGUUUACUCGUUUGUUUUGCGACUGGUGAAAUGCCGGCAUAUAUAUAUUUUCAACAUUUGACAUAACCCUGUAUGUUUUGCAAGGACAACCCAGGACGUGCAUUUCUCAGCACCCAGUCAACUGCCAAAAGUGACCAGUAAGUGGACAUCAGUUGCAAUUUCACAUUAUGCAGUUGGCGGCUGCCUUGUACGGAGGCUUUCUUUUUUAAUGAGAUGGUGAUGUCGUUCUAAUGUACAUUUUGACCACAAAGGUGCGAUCAUGUCUCACAGAGGCAUACAUGGUUGCUAUUUUCUGCGAGGGACGUGUUCUCGUGUUCGUGAAGCAUUUGUGUUCGGCAGUAUUGUCGCCCAAUGAGUCGGAUAUAAACACUAACUCGCCACUGCCGGCAAGUAGUUGCGAGAAACGUAUUAUGACGCUGUAAAGUUAUUUCAUUAAUUCGAAGGAAGGUUUUGCAGCAGGAAAAAAGGUUGCUAUUCCAGGUAAACAUGUCUUUUUCUCACAGGUUAUUUCGCCAAACUGUGGAUGCAUGAAAUUCGUGACUUAUGAAUAGAUUUUAAUUUAUUCUUUAGUAAUGCUUCUAAAAGAGACUAGAAAUAGCAUGUGACUACCUCUGCAAUCAGCAGACCAUACAUUUACAGUCAUAAGUGGCAGCUCCAUGCAGUCUCGCACUUUAUAUAACCUUUCCUUUCAGCAACAUUGGAACUGGUGGCUGCGUUUUCAGAAGGAGAAGUGCACUUGACACAGUAUAUGUAUGUGUGAAUUCGGUUUUCUUUGUAUGUGUCGGCUCACUGACAAACAGUGCAAAAAUCUGUUGUACCAUGAGCCUGACGACGCCUUCUGCUGCUAGAAAUGCGGCACUUCGUAUUUCAUAGUACUGCAUGACAUUUAAAUCAAAGCUACCACAUAAAAUGAUCAAGAAAACUAACCGCUGUUAUAGCUGUUUUCCUCAAAGAACGCUUGUCCUUUAUGGGCUGUGUUAAUCUGAGCUCUCCACCGAUGUUUCAGUAGUAUUAUCCCUUAGCCAGUGAGAGAUUGGGGGCAAUUAAUCGUGUUAGUGUUUAAGUGGUGUCCUAAUUAUGUGCAUUUGUUCCAACAAAGUUGUCUAGAUUACUUUAUUGUGUAGUGUAAAGCUUAUGAAACCAUCAGCAACUACUGAGUUGCUAACACGCAUAUAGAUUUGUCAUUAUACAGGUGGAACUCGGCUGUACCACUGCAGUGCUGCGGAAAUUGCCUUCACCAGCGGCUUUGCAACAGCUGUUUCGCAGCAUGUCGGAGACAAUGCCUACGAAAUUAUUGGCUCUGAUCAUGAGAGCCCUCAAGGGGCAAACAACAUCUCUGUUGCAGAAGUGAGCCCGAUACCACUUGGAAGUUACCAUGACAGAUGACACGGCAGCAAUAGAUACAGAGACUGGCAUGUCUACUGCAGCUGCCACAGUGUACGAGGCAAGCAGCAGCGCGUCAGCAUCAGCAGCAGUGUCAGAAGGAACCACACCAGGCCUGGUAGAGCAACAUGUGUGCUAUCACUGACUUUUUUUGUAGUGGAUACAACUCAUUUGCUCAACAUACAAAAGCUUUUCACCACGACUGUGAACCAGUGCUAUUGUGCAGCAAGUGCAAGACUAAGUUAGGUGUUAUAACACAGUACAAGCAUCACUUUAAUAUAUGCAAAUGCAAACAUAUUACAGUUGUUGCCUCCCCAGCCAGCCCACAUAGUGACAACAAUGUGGAACACAUGGUGGGACACACCUCUCCCCCAUUACAAGAUAGUAGAGACUGUCAGUGUUGUUGCUAGAUUGACUGGUCUUUGUAGGCAACUAGAAGGACAACACAGGUGUCAUAAGAUUGUUGUUGAUGUUGUUGUUGAAGAGGUAAAAAAGAAGUUUGAUGCAGCUGAAGUGCCAACUGAUAUUGAGCAAACCAAAAGCAACCACCUGAGAAAGCAACACUAUCGAAAUUUGGGUAUCUAUGUGCCGCCAACUCUGGUAAGAAUGGCAUAGGACAGAAGUGUGAUGAAAAUCACACAGACACUGCUGUUGCAUCACUGGCCACAGUGAGCAGCGACUUGUAGGGCAAGAGAGUCAACUGAAACUAACAUUAUGAUAUAGUGUCAUGCUCCCAUGUGACCACUUUUCAAGUUAUUUUGCAAGAUACAGCUCAACCUCCAGAAACGAGACUGCAACUUGUCUGUAAAAAAGCUUUCACAAAAAAAUUAUUCAUAACACUACUAACAUAGCAGUAUCUUUUUUUUUGUCGGUUCGAGGUUCCCGACUGUCCAUUAAUGCAAAAAUUGAGGAAAAAAAGAACAUGUGUCGUACUUACACCUUUUUACGAGGGGGACAGAACUUUUCUAGUCAUGCAUCUUCAUCAUACUAUCAAGUUUUUAAAUGCCUUUUAUAAUUAUUAUUAACAGUUAUAUCUGAGUGCAUUGUAUGCAUGUAGCAGGUGUAAAAUCAGGUCAGUUGGAUCAGAUGCCUUAUCUGCAAGCGAGCCCUAUAUUCAAGAAAUUUGAAUGAAAAUAGUUACGUUAGAGACGCAGUCUUUCAGCACUUUAUUGCCGGUGGUUUAAGCAUUGCUCAAUACUUUUGUGGGUGGCAAUCUCAACCGGCACAGCACUGCGCUUUGCCACAGUCACAUUUGUCUUCAAAGCGGUGUUUACCAUUUGUGUUGAUCUGUUUGUGUAUGCAUAGAGCAAGUUUUUAAUUUAUAUUUUUCUGCAUUCUUGUGCUUGCACUAAGCUUGUAUAAGGCAGUUACAAUAUGUGCGUCACUAUAACGAACUGUUCUGUUGAGCUUAUACUUGCAAAUAAUCGUGUUCAGAUGGCCGCACUUCUAUGCGGGUGCACCGCUAGCUUUGUGUAUGUUCUCAUGUUUGUAUAAAGCUUAUAUAAGCUAGUUAGAAAAUGUAUGUCACUAAGCAUUGUGAUAUUCUUUAAAGAACUGCUUGGUUGGUUUUACACUUGUGAAUUAGUAUUGAGGCGGUGGUAUUCCCAUGUAUGCCCACUGCUAGCUUUCUGUGUCCUCACGUGUUUUUAUUAAGUUUCUACAAGGGAGUUACAGCAUGUACGUCACUAAGCGCUGUGAUAUUUUUUAAAGAACUGCUUUGUUGGUUUUACACCUGUGAGUAAUAGUACUCGGGUGGCACUAGUCAUGUGUAGGUACACAGGGACCAUUUGUAUACAUUAUGCUCAUGUAAAGCACUUACAAAGUGUAUGUCACUAAUUACUGUGAUAUUUGUUGAAUUGCUGUGAUGGUUUUACACAUGUGAAUAAUAGUGGUCAGGACACAGUACUUGCGGUGUAUAGUUGAAUUUAUACACUGCCAAGACAUGGGCUGUAUACGUACCAAAAGAAAUGUAUGUCAUUAUAUUGUUGUAAUUAUUACUGUUUGGAUUUUAUUAAACUGUAAUAAAAUUGUUUCUUGUA